GGGGGCGUAGUUUAGUGGUAAAAUUCCGGUCUCCAAAACCGGUGAUGUAGGUUCGAUUCCUGCCGCCCCUG
rnacentral:tRNA from 1 species